AGCUUUAUGGUACAAAUUUUAUAUAAAGUUAUUUCUGCCCAGUGAUAAAUUUUAACGGCCGCAGUACCUUGACUGUGCUAAGGUAGCAUAAUAAAUUGACUUUUAAUUGAAGUCUAGAAUGAAUGGAAAAAUGGAAAAAGUCUGUCUGGUUUAAUAAUUACUUUUAACUUACUAUUAAGGUGAAAAUACCUUAACUUUUGAUAAAAGACGAGAAGACCCUUAGAAUUUUUAUAAAAAAAUUAUUUAGUUAUUAUAUUUUUGUUGGGGUGACAGAGUAGAAAAAGAAAUAUAUAACCUACUUUAAUAAUUACAAACCAAGUUAUAUACUAUUUAAGAAAAAAUUACCUUAGGGAUAACAGCAUAAUUCUUUUUAGAGAUUGUGACCUCGAUGUUGGACUAGGAACUUUAUAAUUAGCAAUUAAAAUUGACAGUUCUGUUCGAACUACUUUAUCCU
rnacentral:rRNA from 1 species